ensembl:lncRNA
CAUCAUUAGACCCAUGACAUGAAAUGUGGCCAUUUGUUACAUCAUUUGCUAAGCAUUAACAGCACUAGUCCAAUAAUUAUAUGUCUGAACUUUAAUUCAAAUAGAUUAUAAUUGCUCUUUUUUUCUUAACUUUGAGGGUGGUGAUGCCUGUUUGAAACAGUACAGAAUGUUUCUGUUUUUCAUCGAAAGUAAUAGUAGGCUUAUUGCUUCAUAAAAAUGUUUUAUUUAACUUAGUGUUUUUCAUUACAAAAAUAACAAAUGUGCUUGAAAAGCCAAACAAGCAUCCAAUUAAAUGACAUAAUAGUAGUUUAUACAUACAUCGACAGUUUGGGGUCACUGAUGAGGGAUUCCAGUCACACUCCACACUGCAACAUUACAGCAUUACAUGUCAAUAAAUUGAGAGUAAACAGUGACAGUCCCAUCAGGCCAUUUGAGUUGUUGGAGGUUUGUUUAAUAGUCAUACUCAAACCAAGCAAGGAUCAGACUCCGAACAGCACUUUUUCAAAGUUUGUCUCUUUUGCGUAGCCUACUGUGUUCUCUUGUAUAAACCGUGACCUAUUUGAAAGAUCGCAUUGUGAGAUAAAUCAGUUAGACAGUUUUGAUAGUAGCCUACAAUACAUGACUGUGCACUGCAUUGCAACAAGUAUUCUUGGAAGCACAGGAUGUAUUCAUUACACCAAUUAUGUUUCAAAACAUUUAGUCUGCUACAAAACAUUUUUACCACAGAAACCAGUUACUCCAAACAGAAAACGUUUUGCAACGAAAAUUAGUGUUUCUAUUGGACAAAUCUAGUAGCUACUCCAGCAAAGAUAAUACCCAUAAAACCUAGUGGUCAAACAGGUAAAAUGGGUCCAAUUGCUUUUCCACCAUACAUUUUUCCUGUCAGGGAUUUUAGAAACACAAUAAGGGCUGUGUUUCAUGUAGGCUUACCGUGGUGUGGCAUUUUGAUAAUCAUGUAAAUCUCUCUAGGACAAGGUGACUUAUCAAUAUAUUCGCCUGUAUUUACCCCCCAAAAAUGAAACACUAGUUAGCUGCUAAUGUAGCUAUCAU